AGCGAACGCUGGCGGCAGGCUUAACACAUGCAAGUCGAGCGGGCGUAGCAAUACGUCAGCGGCAGACGGGUGAGUAACGCGUGGGAACGUACCUUUUGGUUCGGAACAACACAGGGAAACUUGUGCUAAUACCGGAUAAGCCCUUACGGGGAAAGAUUUAUCGCCGAAAGAUCGGCCCGCGUCUGAUUAGCUAGUUGGUGAGGUAACGGCUCACCAAGGCGACGAUCAGUAGCUGGUCUGAGAGGAUGAUCAGCCACAUUGGGACUGAGACACGGCCCAAACUCCUACGGGAGGCAGCAGUGGGGAAUAUUGGACAAUGGGCGCAAGCCUGAUCCAGCCAUGCCGCGUGAGUGAUGAAGGCCCUAGGGUUGUAAAGCUCUUUUGUGCGGGAAGAUAAUGACGGUACCGCAAGAAUAAGCUCCGGCUAACUUCGUGCCAGCAGCCGCGGU
rnacentral:rRNA from 1 species